UAACCGUUCGGUUCCAAAAGGCAUAUUUGCUGGCUCCACCGCAAAUCCCAAUUAUUUGUCCCACCCUAGAAGUCCAAAAUGACAGCAUAGAGUGAGGGAUCAAUCAUGCAAUUCGUUUGACAUGUGAGGCACUCACGCUCUUUUUCCACUCAUUUCUCUGAAGAGUGAUACUACUUUGCAGCAGUUUGAUCAAUGUGUCAUGACAAACGCUUGCCCAAUGUAUCAUGAUUUGAUACAUAGAUGGUGCUAAUGUAAUUGCACGGGUUUACAUUAAAAGGUGAGGCUUUCCCUAUGUAUGCAAAUAUCAUGUUUGUUUGGAAUGUUAUUUGUACUCCGUCCUUACAAUUUAGCUUAUAAAUACUCAGCCAUUGCCAAGAAAGCUUCUUUUCUGUUCCAACCAGUGGAAGAUUUAGAAGUGCGCGUCGUGUGUAGUUCAAUCGUUAAAAAAAGUUAAAACUAGUUGUCCUUAAAAACUAGUAGUACGGGCAAAAGUACGAAAAAGUCCGAUAAUCGAUGGAAAAUUUACAAUACGGUUGGUGUUAAUUGUGAAAUUGUAUUAGCCUUUAUUAUAUGAAAAGAUCUUUUAUAGUCCUUUGCUGAAAAUGUGCCCGACCGAAAAUGUUUUGUGAAAUGUAUGAAAAAGCUUAAAAAGAGAAAGGUAAAUUGUGCAAAAUGAAUUGUAAUUGUGCAAGUGGUAGAAGAUGGCGUCGCAUUAGGGUGCUAAUCACUGUGAAUAGGUCCGCAAGCGGGCCUUUCUCUUCUUUCUUUUCUUUCUUCGGAACAAGUUCCGAAAACCGCAGGACGGCCGAGGUGACAACAACCCCCCCCCCCCCCUCCUGCUUCGUGCAAGCGCACCUUCCUUCCGUUACGCCAAAGUUGGACAGAAACCCGUUGGCCCAUCCGUCAUAUCGGCCACUUUCAUCCAUUGCCCGGUCGAAGACCGGAAACCGCAAAUUGGCCUGUGGUAAGCCAUCCGAUAUUCUGGCCAUCACCACUGCCCAACAGCUGCGAAGCGACCGUCAAGCCGCCAUCUUCCGAACAAUUUGCGACGUUCCAUCUCCAUUGUUCGGCAACCCGGGAAGAACUAGAUCUUCAUACAACGUCGGCCAUCUUGGAAAGCCGACCGAAUCUUGCCGACCGUGCCAUUCGGUUACCUACGAACACCCGGAAGUGCCCGAUGCCAUCAUCAACCUACUCUCCAGGCCUACACCGAUACACCGCUACCGCCAUGGAUCCGGAUCCCACCGAAAACAAGCGCAAGUACCCUAUGUGACGUCAGUGUGAGAAAUAGGAGCCAGGACUAAUAAAUAGUUUGUUAAGUUGA